rnacentral:miRNA from 2 species
CGUUUCACGUCGGGUUCACC